rnacentral:ncRNA from 1 species
UGGUUGGGAGGGCCGCAGGUGCGGUUCGUUGAAGUUAUGCUUCACCUGGCCU